rnacentral:rRNA from 1 species
CAGCCGCCGCGGUAAUACGUAGGGUGCGAGCGUUCAUCGGAUUUACUGGGCGUAAAUCGUGCGCAGGCGGCCCGUUAAGACAGGUGUGAAAUCCCUGGGCUCAACCUAGGAAUUGCGCUUGUGACUGGCGGGCUCGAGUACGGUAGAGGGGGGGGGAAUUCCUGGUGUAGCAGUGAAAUGCGUAGAGAUCAGGAGGAACACCGAUGGCGAAGGCAGCCCCCUGGGCCUGUACUGACGCUCAUGCACGAAAGCGUGGGGAGCAAACAGGAUUCGAGUCCCUGGUAGUCCACGCCCUAAACGAUGGGUACUAGCCGUGUGGUGCGCGAGAGCGCUGAGUGGCGAAGCUAACGCGUGCAGUACCCCGCCUGGGGAGUACGGCCGCAAGGUUGAAACUUAAAGGAAUUGGCGGG